CUACUACUCCCUCCGUCCGAAAAUACUUGUCAUUGAAAUGGAUGUAUCUAGAUGUAUUUUAGUUCUAGACACAUCCAUUUUGAUGAAAAAUAAUUCUGGACGGAGGGAGUAUUAU
rnacentral:pre_miRNA from 1 species